GACGAACGCUGGCGGCGUGCUUAACACAUGCAAGUCGAACGGAAAGGCCCUGCUUUUGCGGGGUGCUCGAGUGGCGAACGGGUGAGUAACACGUGAGUAACCUGCCCUUGACUUUGGGAUAACUUCAGGAAACUGGGGCUAAUACCGGAUAGGAGCUCCUGCUGCAUGGUGGGGGUUGGAAAGUUUCGGCGGUUGGGGAUGGACUCGCGGCUUAUCAGCUUGUUGGUGGGGUAGUGGCUUACCAAGGCUUUGACGGGUAGCCGGCCUGAGAGGGCGACCGGCCACAUUGGGACUGAGAUACGGCCCAGACUCCUACGGGAGGCAGCAGUGGGGAAUAUUGCACAAUGGGCGGAAGCCUGAUGCAGCAACGCCGCGUGCGGGAUGACGGCCUUCGGGUUGUAAACCGCUUUCGCCUGUGACGAAGCGUGAGUGACGGUAAUGGGUAAAGAAGCACCAGCUAACUACGUG
rnacentral:rRNA from 1 species